rnacentral:rRNA from 1 species
CUCGUAGGCGGUUCGUCGCGUCCGGUGUGAAAGUCCAUCGCUUAACGGUGGAUCCGCGCCGGGUACGGGCGGGCUUGAGUGCGGUAGGGGAGACUGGAAUUCCCGGUGUAACGGUGGAAUGUGUAGAUAUCGGGAAGAACACCAAUGGCGAAGGCAGGUCUCUGGGCCAUCACUGACGCUGAGGAGCGAAAGCGUGGGGAGCGAACA